rnacentral:rRNA from 1 species
AUGUGGCAGAAGUUUGACAUGGAAAAGAUGAUCCCCAGUCUAAAUUUGCAAUUCUCAUCACAGGAUCCAGUAAUGGAGGGUAGCAGUGCGAUGUCUCCUCUAGGAGAGCCCUCAAUUCCAAUGAUCGCAGCAUGUGCACCAGCACUAUCAGCCAUGGAAUCGGUCAACAGUGUUCAAAAUCAAGAUUUCAGCGAUGCAACGUCAUUCGCAGAAAUUAAUUCCCCAUUGCUUCUCAUUGAUGACUCCAGUACACCGAAAAAAAAUCAUUCUCUCAAGAGGACAUAUGCACACAAUGUCGGAUUUGGUGUGCGUCUUGGACAACAAAGGGUCGUAGAUAAUGUGCUUCAAUGGAAACGCUUCCUGUGUGCAAAAGAAGGCUUCCGUCCCGAGAAAGGUAGGUCGAACUGA